GAUGAACGCUGGCGGCGUGCCUAAUACAUGCAAGUCGAGCGAACAGACGCGAAGCUUGCUUCUCUGAUGUUAGCGGCGGACGGGUGAGUAACACGUGGAUAACCUACCUAUAAGACUGGGAUCACUUCGGGAAACCGGAGCUAAUACCGGAUAAUCUUUUGAACCGCAUUGUUCAAUAGUGAAAGACGGUCUUGCUGUCACUUAUAGAUGGAUCCGCGCUGCAUUAGCUAGUUGGUAAGGUAACGGCUUACCACGGCAACGAUGCGUAGACGACCUGAGAGGGUGAUAGGCCACAUUGGAAGUGAGACACGGUCCAGACGCCUACGGGAGGCAGCAGUAGGGAAUCUUCCGCAAUGGGCGAAAGCAUGACGGAGCAACGCCGAGUGAGUGAUGAAGGUCUUCGGAUCGUAAAACUCUGUUAUUAGGGAAGAACAGAUGUGUAAGUAACUGUGCACAUCUUGACGGUACCUAAUCAGAAAGCAACGGCUAACUACGUG
rnacentral:rRNA from 1 species